UACGUAGGGGGCGAGCGUUGUCCGGAAUCACUGGGCGUAAAGCGCGUGUAGGCGGUUCGGUAAGUCCGCUGUGAAAGUCGGGGGCUCAACCCUCGAAAGCCGGUGGAUACUGUCGGGCUUGAGUACGGAAGAGGCGAGUGGAAUUCCUGGUGUAGCGGUGAAAUGCGCAGAUAUCAGGAGGAACACCAAUUGCGAAGGCAGCUCGCUGGGACGUUACUGACGCUGAGACGCGAAAGCGUGGGGAGCAAACAGG
rnacentral:rRNA from 1 species